UACGGAGGGAGCAAGCGUUACUCGGAAUUAUUGGGCGUAAAGGGCGCGUAGGCGAUUCGAUAAGUCUCAUGUGAAAUCCCAGGGCCUAACCCUGGAAUGGCAUGGGAUACUGUUGGAUUUGAGUUCCGGAGAGGAAGGCAGAAUUCCCGGUGUAGCGGUGAAAUGCGUAGAUAUCGGGAGGAAUACCAGUGGCGAAGGCGGCCUUCUGGACGGAGUACUGACGCUGAGGCGCGAAAGCCAGGGGAGCAAAGCGGG
rnacentral:rRNA from 1 species